UGGUUUUUAGACUUUUUAGAUGUUGGUCAAGCUCGUGAUCUGUGUCCGAUCAUUCCGACAUGUUGACCGAUUAAUUAGAAAUUGUCC